GCUGGGUUUGGUAACGCAAGCCUGUAACCCAAGUGGGAGCUGUAAGAUGGUGGAACAAUUGGGCUUUCCCUGAGGGUCGGGCUUGGGUUGCUCCUUACUGGCCUGCCCGUUCCAAGUGGUGAGUUGGGCCGUGGAGUCUCCGCUAAAGUGGAGGCGUCUCGGCCCUUAGAUCGGAGGGCACCGCGUCAGGCUGGCUUCACAGAGCAGCGAAAACCUCCUCCUCUCUGCAGUGGAAGGAUAACAGGCCGGUGCAAUCCUUGUCCACCAGCACCUGAUGGGCCGCCCAAAUUGAACCACCAUCUUU
rnacentral:SRP_RNA from 1 species